UUUCCGUAGGUGAACCUGCGGAAGGAUCAUUACUGAGUGAGGGCCCCUCGGGGUCCAACCUCCCACCCGUGUUUAACGAACCUUGUUGCUUCGGCGGGCCCGCCUCACGGCCGCCGGGGGGCAUCUGCCCCCGGGCCCGCGCCCGCCGAAGCCACCUGUGAACGCUGUCUGAAGUAUGCAGUCUGAGACAAUUAUUAAAUUAAUUAAAACUUUCAACAACGGAUCUCUUGGUUCCGACAUCGAUGAAGAACGCAGC
rnacentral:misc_RNA from 1 species